rnacentral:rRNA from 1 species
GGAUCCAGACUUUGAUUCUGGCUCAGGAUGAACGCUAGCUACAGGCUUAACAACAUGCAAGUCGAGGGGAAACGACAUCGAAAAGCUUGCUUUUGAUGGGCGUCGACCGGCGCACGGGUGAGUAACGCGUAUCCAACCUGCCCCACCACUUGGGGAUAACCUUGCGAAAGUAAGACUAAUACCCAAUGAUAUCUCUAGAAGACAUCUGAAAGAGAUUAAAGAUUUAUCGGUGAUGGAUGGGGAUGCGUCUGAUUAGCUUGUUGGCGGGGUAACGGCCCACCAAGGCAACGAUCAGUAGGGGUUCUGAGAGGAAGGUCCCCCACAUUGGAACUGAGACACGGUCCAAACUCCUACGGGAGGCAGCAGUGAGGAAUAUUGGUCAAUGGACGAGAGUCUGAACCAGCCAAGUAGCGUGCAGGAUGACGGCCCUAUGGGUUGUAAACUGCUUUUAUAAGGGAAUAAAGUGAGUCUCGUGAGACUUUUUGCAUGUACCUUAUGAAUAAGGACCGGCUAAUUCCGUGCCAGCAGCCGCGGUAAUACGGAAGGUCCGGGCGUUAUCCGGAUUUAUUGGGUUUAAAGGGAGCGUAGGCCGGAGAUUAAGCGUGUUGUGAAAUGUAGACGCUCAACGUCUGCACUGCAGCGCGAACUGGUUUCCUUGAGUACGCACAAAGUGGGCGGAAUUCGUGGUGUAGCGGUGAAAUGCUUAGAUAUCACGAAGAACUCCGAUUGCGAAGGCAGCUCACUGGAGCGCAACUGACGCUGAAGCUCGAAAGUGCGGGUAUCGAACAGGAUUAGAUACCCUGGUAGUCCGCACGGUAAACGAUGGAUGCCCGCUGUUGGUCUGAAUAGGUCAGCGGCCAAGCGAAAGCAUUAAGCAUCCCACCUGGGGAGUACGCCGGCAACGGUGAAACUCAAAUGAAUUGACG